UGCAAGUCGAACGCUUCUUUUUCCACCGGAGCUUGCUCCACCGGAAAAAGAGGAGUGGCGAACGGGUGAGUAACACGUGGGUAACCUGCCCAUCAGAAGGGGAUAACACUUGGAAACAGGUGCUAAUACCGUAUAACAAUCGAAACCGCAUGGUUUUGAUUUGAAAGGCGCUUUCGGGUGUCGCUGAUGGAUGGACCCGCGGUGCAUUAGCUAGUUGGUGAGGUAACGGCUCACCAAGGCGACGAUGCAUAGCCGACCUGAGAGGGUGAUCGGCCACAUUGGGACUGAGACACGGCCCAAACUCCUACGGGAGGCAGCAGUAGGGAAUCUUCGGCAAUGGACGAAAGUCUGACCGAGCAACGCCGCGUGAGUGAAGAAGGUUUUCGGAUCGUAAAACUCUGUUGUUAGAGAAGAACAAGGAUGAGAGUAACUGUUCAUCCCUUGACGGUAUCUAACCAGAAAGCCACGGCUAACUACGUGCCAGCAGCCGCGGUAAUACGUAGGUGGCAAGCGUUGUCCGGAUUUAUUGGGCGUAAAGCGAGCGCAGGCGGUUUCUUAAGUCUGAUGUGAAAGCCCCCGGCUCAACCGGGGAGGGUCAUUGGAAACUGGGAGACUUGAGUGCAGAAGAGGAGAGUGGAAUUCCAUGUGUAGCGGUGAAAUGCGUAGAUAUAUGGAGGAACACCAGUGGCGAAGGCGGCUCUCUGGUCUGUAACUGACGCUGAGGCUCGAAAGCGUGGGGAGCAAACAGGAUUAGAUACCCUGGUAGUCCACGCCGUAAACGAUGAGUGCUAAGUGUUGGAGGGUUUCCGCCCUUCAGUGCUGCAGCUAACGCAUUAAGCACUCCGCCUGGGGAGUACGACCGCAAGGUUGAAACUCAAAGGAAUUGACGGGGGCCCGCACAAGCGGUGGAGCAUGUGGUUUAAUUCGAAGCAACGCGAAGAACCUUACCAGGUCUUGACAUCCUUUGACCACUCUAGAGAUAGAGCUUCCCCUUCGGGGGCAAAGUGACAGGUGGUGCAUGGUUGUCGUCAGCUCGUGUCGUGAGAUGUUGGGUUAAGUCCCGCAACGAGCGCAACCCUUAUUGUUAGUUGCCAUCAUUUA
rnacentral:rRNA from 1 species